rnacentral:rRNA from 1 species
AGGCUUAACACAUGCAAGUCGAGGGGCAGCGCGGGGCGGCAACGUCCUGGCGGCGACCGGCGGAAGGGUGCGUAACGCGUGAGCGACAUGCCCGUUGCCCGGGGACAACCGGUGGAAACGCCGACUAAUCCCCGAUGGGACGGAGGCCCUCAUGGGUCUCUGUUGAAAGUUACGGCGGCGACGGAUUGGCUCGCGUCCGAUUAGCUAGUUGGCGGGGUAACGGCCCACCAAGGCUACGAUCGGUAGGGGUUCUGAGAGGAAGGUCCCCCACAAUGGAACUGAGACACGGUCCAUACUCCUACGGGAGGCAGCAGUGAGGAAUAUUGGUCAAUGGGCGGAAGCCUGAACCAGCCAUGCCGCGUGCGGGAAGGAGGCCCUAUGGGCUGUGAACCGCUUUUGCCUGGGGGCAAUAAGGGCGUCGCGCACGUCCGAUGAGAGUACCAGGGGAAUAAGCAUCGGCUAACUCCGUGCCAGCAGCCGCGGUAAUACGGGGGAUGCGAGCGUUAUCCGGAUUCAUUGGGUUUAAAGGGUGCGUAGGCUGUGCGUCAAGUCAGGGGUGAAAUUCCGGGGCUCAACUCCGGGGCUGCCCUUGAUACUGUCGCGCUGGAGUGCGGAUGCCGCCGGAGGAAUGAGUGGUGUAGCGGUGAAAUGCUUAGAUAUCACUCAGAACACCGAUUGCGAAGGCAUCUGGCGAAUCCGUAACUGACGCUGAGGCACGAAAGCGUGGGGAUAGAACAGGAUUAGAUACCCUGGUAUUCCACGCCGUAAACGAUGAUGGCUAACCGCCGGCGACACACUGUCGGUGGCCAAGCGAAAGCGAUAAGCCAUCCACCUGGGGAGUACGUCGGCAACGAUGAAACUCAAAGGAAUUGACGGGGGCCCGCACAAGCGGAGGAACAUGUGGUUUAAUUCGAUGAUACGCGAGGAACCUUACCCGGGCUCGAACGGCGCCUGAACCACCCAGAGAUGGGUGGGUCUUCGGACAGGUGCCGAGGUGCUGCAUGGUUGUCGUCAGCUCGUGCCGUGAGGUGUC